CCUACGGGUGGCAGCAGUGGGGAAUAUUGGACAAUGGGCGAAAGCCUGAUCCAGCCAUGCCGCGUGUGUGAAGAAGGCCUUCGGGUUGUAAAGCACUUUCAGUGGGGAAGAAAGCCUUGGGGCUAAUACCCUCGAGGAAGGACAUCACCCACAGAAGAAGCACCGGCUAACUCCGUGCCAGCAGCCGCGGUAAUACGGAGGGUGCGAGCAUUAAUCGGAAUUACUGGGCGUAAAGCGCGCAUAGGCGGUCUGAUAAGCCGGUUGUGAAAGCCCCGGGCUCAACCUGGGAACGGCAUCCGGAACUGUCAGGCUAGAGUGCAGGAGAGGAAGGUAGAAUUCCCGGUGUAGCGGUGAAAUGCGUAGAGAUCGGGAGGAAUACCAGUGGCGAAGGCGGCCUUCUGGACUGACACUGACGCUGAGGUGCGAAAGCGUGGGUAGCAAACAGGAUUAGAUACCCGAGUAGUC
rnacentral:rRNA from 1 species